rnacentral:rRNA from 1 species
UACGAAGGGUGCGAGCGUUGUCCGGAAUUAUUGGGCGUAAAGAGCUCGUAGGCGGUUUGUCGCGUCGACUGUGAAAACCUGGGGCUUAACUCUGGGCCUGCAGUCGAUACGGGCAGACUUGAGUUCGGUAGGGGAGACUGGAAUUCCUGGUGUAGCGGUGAAAUGCGCAGAUAUCAGGAGGAACACCGGUGGCGAAGGCGGGUCUCUGGGCCGAUACUGACGCUGAGGAGCGAAAGCGUGGGGAGCGAACAGG